GAGGAAUAUUGGUCAAUGGGCGCAAGCCUGAACCAGCCAUCCCGCGUGAAGGAAGAAGGCGCUAUGCGUUGUAAACUUCUUUUCCAGGGGGAGAAUUUUUCCGUCGUGACGGGAAUUGACGGUACUCUGGGAAUAAGCAUCGGCUAACUCCGUGCCAGCAGCCGCGGUAAUACGGAGGAUGCGAGCGUUAUCCGGAUUUAUUGGGUUUAAAGGGUGCGUAGGCGGAUAGAUAAGUCAGUGGUGAAAUUCUGCAGCUUAACUGUAGACUUGCCGUUGAUACUGUCAGUCUUGAGUAUGGUAAAGGCAGGCGGAAUGUGUAAUGUAGCGGUGAAAUGCUGAGAUAUUACACAGAACACCGAUUGCGAAGGCAGCUUGCUGGGCCAUUACUGACGCUGAUGCACGAAAGCGUGGGGAUCGAACA
rnacentral:rRNA from 1 species